AGAGUUUGAUCCUGGCUCAGGACGAACGCUGGCGGCACGCUUAACACAUGCAAGUCGAACGAGAGAAGAGGAGCUUGCUUUUCUGAUCUAGUGGCGGACGGGUGAGUAACACGUGAGCAAUCUGCCUUUCAGAGGGGGAUACCGAUUGGAAACGAUCGUUAAUACCGCAUAACAUAAUUGAACCGCAUGAUUUGAUUAUCAAAGAUUUAUCGCUGAAAGAUGAGCUCGCGUCUGAUUAGCUAGUUGGUAAGGUAACGGCUUACCAAGGCGACGAUCAGUAGCCGGACUGAGAGGUUGAUCGGCCACAUUGGGACUGAGACACGGCCCAGACUCCUACGGGAGGCAGCAGUGGGGAAUAUUGCACAAUGGAGGUAACUCUGAUGCAGCGAUGCCGCGUGAGGGAAGAAGGUUUUAGGAUUGUAAACCUCUGUCUUCAGGGACGAGAAAAGACGGUACCUGAGGAGGAAGCUCCGGCUAACUACGUGCCAGCAGCCGCGGUAAUACGUAGGGAGCGAGCGUUGUCCGGAAUUACUGGGUGUAAAGGGAGCGUAGGCGGGAUCGCAAGUCAGAUGUGAAAACUAUGGGCUUAACCCAUAAACUGCAUUUGAAACUGUGGUUCUUGAGUGAAGUAGAGGUAAGCGGAAUUCCUAGUGUAGCGGUGAAAUGCGUAGAUAUUAGGAGGAACAUCAGUGGCGAAGGCGGCUUACUGGGCUUUAACUGACGCUGAGGCUCGAAAGCGUGGGGAGCAAACAGGAUUAGAUACCCUGGUAGUCCACGCCGUAAACGAUGAUUACUAGGUGUGGGGGGACUGACCCCUUCCGUGCCGCAGCAAACGCAAUAAGUAAUCCACCUGGGGAGUACGACCGCAAGGUUGAAACUCAAAGGAAUUGACGGGGGCCCGCACAAGCAGUGGAGUAUGUGGAUUAAUUCGAAGCAGCGCGAAGAACCUUACCAGGUCUUGACAUCGUAUGCAUAGCUCAGAGAUGAGUGAAAUCUCUUCGGAGACAUAUAGACAGGUGGUGCAUGGUUGUCGUCAGCUCGUGUCGUGAGAUGUUGGGUUAAGUCCCGCAACGAGCGCAACCCUUACUGUUAGUUGCUACGCAAGAGCACUCUAGCAGGACUGCCGUUGACAAAACGGAGGAAGGUGGGGAUGACGUCAAAUCAUCAUGCCCCUUAUGACCUGGGCCUCACACGUACUACAAUGGCUGUCAACAGAGGGAAGCAAAGCCGCGAGGUGGAGCGAACCCCUAAAAGCAGUCUUAGUUCGGAUUGUAGGCUGCAACCCGCCUACAUGAAGUCGGAAUUGCUAGUAAUCGCAGAUCAGCAUGCUGCGGUGAAUACGUUCCCGGGCCUUGUACACACCGCCCGUCACGCCAUGGGAGUCGGUAACACCCGAAGCCUGUAGUCUAACCGCAAGGAGGACGCAGUCGAAGGUGGGAUUGAUGACUGGGGUGAAGUCGUAACAAGGUA
rnacentral:rRNA from 1 species